GUGCCGGGUCUUACGCAAUAGGAACUCAUGAAUCGCGUCAGGUCCGGAAGGAAGCAGCGCUAAGUGAUACUUCUUAUGUGCCGUAAGGGUGCCUGGUAUCUGC
rnacentral:SRP_RNA from 1 species